rnacentral:misc_RNA from 1 species
AACCUAGCACACCUGCGGUGUGUACCUGCGGAGGGAUCAUUACCGAGUUUACAACUCCCAAACCCCUGUGAACAUACCACUUGUUGCCUCGGCGGAUCAGCCCGCUCCCGGUAAAACGGGACGGCCCGCCAGAGGACCCCUAAACUCUGUUUCUAUAUGUAACUUCUGAGUAAAACCAUAAAUAAAUCAAAACUUUUAGCAAUGGAUCU